GGGAGUCGCGCGACCCCGUGGGAAGGGUGGGCGAAGCGCCCCCGGCUCUCCGGCGGAGGGAAGGAGGAGGGAGGGAAGGACACGGCGGUGGAGGAUGCUGCGAAGGGAAACUUUGGAGCGGAGGGAGCAUGUGAAAGGGGGAGAGGAGCGCCGCGCAGCGUGGGGGGCCGGGGGGGGGCCCAGCCCCUCUCCGUUUUGCCGUCGCGAUGCCACAACCUCAUUCAAGAAUUUUUAAGCUAUUCUAAAUCGUAUUUAUUUAUCCAUUUAGUCGAAAAUUGUCCCUCCGCUAAGGCUUCCCUUCGGAGCUCAGGGAGCCCACCCCAGCGCCGAACCCAGCUUUUGUGAGAGAGGCUAACGCGUCCUGCAGUGGAAGAGGUCUCGUAUCUUAGUGAACAUCCCCAUAGUCAGGAGGUUGGGGCGGUGGCCUUCUGGGGAGUGGGAUUUUUGAUUUGCACCAAGUGCCCGAGGAGGCCUCGGGAAGAGCCGCAUGGGCUCCAGGCUCCCCCCGGCAGCCCAGAUGAAGUUCCAUGUGUCUCUUCUCCCCAAGUCUACCCUCCUCUCGCCAGAGCAGAGCCGAGGGAAUCAAACAUUCAAAUUCAAAAACGAGUCAGUAAGACUAUCCCUAAUUAAUACAACUCCGCUAAUGAGUCAGCAGAAGCCAAUCGGUUUCGUUGUUGCUCCGAAUAAUUUGAUCAAACGUGGGUUUAUGUCUUAAAGAGGGAAAGAACAAUACAUGAAACAAACAUUUCCACCUUCAUUUUUCAAUAUGGCAGUUACCCCAUAGCGGAAAUAUAAUUCUUGGCCCAAGGCUCGGGCAGUAACAGUGCUGAUGAAAUUUGCUGAUGCGCAUUUAAGUCAGCCGUAACCCUGCAGUUCCUGCAGAUAACAUGAGGUUGUUCAUUCCAAGCUGUGUUUACUCAUAAUCCGUGCCCAUUACAACAGAUUGAAUAGACUAAUUUUAAACGCGCUCUGUCACGUAAAGUGACAUUCGUACGAGCACUGUUUCCUAAAGCAGCUUUCAAAGGAGAGUUUUGUUGUUGUUGGGAGACUAUUUAUCUCAUUUCCGGGGGCAGAUUACGAUACCUAUAAAACAGUAGUGAGUUAAAACAUCGCUCCACAAUAGUUUGUAUUGUUUGCAGUCUCAGCUGGACUUUCACAUUUAGAUGUUGAUUGCCUUCGGGUUUUUUUUCAACUUCCUUAACCUCUUCAGCCCAGAUAAUCCACAAACACACCUGGUAGAAUUACAGCUCACUAGCUGCAUGCUUUGAGAGGUCAUUUCAGAAACAUGUAUUUCCUGAAAAGCAGAUUUCUCCGGAAAAAUGAGGGUUUUUUUUACUCAGUGAGAAUAGUUUCAAAAGGAGGAAACACCAGCAAGGAAGCACUCAUACACAGCAUGCUAAAUGCGAAAAGGCUUUUAAAAGAGCAUAUUUUCGCCAGUUUAGGUCAGAACGAAAACGCACCACAGAAAAAUGAAUACUCGGGACAAACAAACCCCACCGGCCCUACUUCUAAAAAGUUGUGGGCAGACGAUCUUUUGUUCGAAUCCAUCACACAAAGACCAAAACAAAUUUUGAAACAAAAACCACCCUAGAUUUAGUUAUAUUUACAUUUUGUAGCAUCGGUUACAGUCUGAUAUUUUUCCCUCCCUCUAUUUAUUUUUGUUUCUUUCCCGUCUUUCAAGUUACUGUUUGCGUCCAAACCAAGUUGUGAAAGCCCGACCUCAGGCAGCAAAAAUAUUUCUUCGUCAAUCCCAUAAUACGAAAAAGGAAUGAAAUCUCCACAUUUGCCUGACUGGGUCGUGUUCGGGUAGUUACAGUGACAGCUAAACAAUCUGCACCACAAUCUCCGCUUCAGUCACAUUCAGGCGUCCUUUCCGCUCCUCCCCCUACCCCAGAAAACCCCGAAUCACAAUAAUCCACUACCCCCCAGGUCUGCCGAGGAAAUGUCCGGCCUGGACGCAUUUCGCAGCAGUUUUCCAUCACCAUUCCCACCCCCACUCUGGAAAGCAGAAAGCAAGCUAGUCGCUGCAUUUUGCCACCGCAACGAAGUCACACUUCGCAAUACCUGUGUAUUUCAUACCCCGUUUAUUUGUUUUCGUAAUUCCACGCACCCCCAGCACCUUCUCCACGGAACAUUUCUCCUUCCUCCUCCCGCCGAAAACGCGUCCGCGCCCCCAGCCACUUUCGGAUACAGGUGCGGGAGUAGUUACCCUCUUAAGCUUAAAAGCCUCCUUCUCCUCGUAUAUAAAACCACUUUCAAAUCAUUCUCGUGCUCGCCAGCGUCAUCAAAACCAACCUUUAACUAAUAGCUCUUAAUCCAAACAGUUUGGGCAAAGCGGACCGUUGUUUAGACUGGCGGGGUACAGAGAGCCUGGCCGGGGGGACGCGGGCGGGUCCUCUCCAGCCGGCUCCCACCGUGGAAACUUGCGGUUGAUACACACCGAGGUACAAGCGGAGGGAAAGGGGAGUGGGCAGAGCCGGUCCUGCCAGAAUAUUUUGCCCGGGGGCGAGCUCCGAUACUCCCGCAGAAAAAGGUUCUGGCUCACAGGAGCCCCUGCGACUUUGACAGCUGUCGUUUUGGCUGCACAGGAGACGAAUCGCCCUCCUUUUGGUGCCAGAAGAAGCAGGAAAUUAGCCAGGUUGCAAGUUGAAAAUCUGCCACGCCAGUGCUUUGAAUCCAAUAUGCCACACCUUCCAGCGGGGGAACUGGAAAUUGCCAUCCCGGAUCUGUGUUCUAGGCGGCUGCUUAUGCCGAACCUCCGCACACUUUGUUCACUAUUGCCUUACAAAGAACAAAUGAAAUGGGGAUUGAAAGCCAGAGAGAUCCGAAGCAGGACAGAGCUCAGCAAAAGAAUGCGGCUCUAUUCUCGCAAGGGAAAUUAUAAAAAAGUUCAUGUUCACGGUUACCAUCCACAUGACCGACAACGACCAAUGGAAAAACCGAACAACUCAUAAAGUUGUAUUGCAAAGUUGUAAAUUUUCAUAAACAACAACGGAUUUAUGGCCUUUUCCUCAUCACUAAGAAGAGGCAGGUCUUAGAGAGGCGCCAUCUUACCACAGAGGCAGCCCUAGAGUUUUUUAAAAGACCUGGACUUUGUACUAAUUUUAUUAAAAUUACAAUUAGUGCGUUGACCAGGAACGGAGUGUAGCAGAAAAAAGGGAACUUCAGCGCAAAUAAUGCUCCAGGUCUUACCUGUAUUUAUCCAGACGAAUAAAAGGACUUUUCGGGUUAGAUUUUUUUUUUUUUUUAAUUAGGAAAAAAAAAUAAAAGGGGGAAUAUUAGAUCUCAUCGACAUUGCUUGCUACCUGGCAAAAAUAAGACGUUUUCUAAAGCGGGGCAAUUUUUCCCCAAUUUCGUGCCACCGUGAUGCCCCCUGGCCCCCGAAAGCCGAACACACAAACCACACACGUACCCGAUCAGAUCAUUUACACUUGGAAGUUUCGCAUUUCACUUUCUCUGCAUUACAAAAUGUUUUUUCACUGCAUGCGAUUUCGACUUGAUCGCCGAUCGUCUGGACUGGGGUUAUGACUGCAAGAGGACACGGGAGCACGGUGGAAGGAAGCUCUCCCAUAAAGAAGGCUUUCCGCUUUAUUAAUCAACAACGCUAGGGAAAAAAAAUCAUGAAGUCGAGAUAUAGAUAUUGACUGAUUCCUAUCAAUUCGUCACCUUGGGUUUUGCUUGUUAAGGUUCUUUUUUUAUUUCCUUUUUGAUUACAGGAAAAAAAUUUAGAUGAUCUAAUUUCUCUAUUUGUCUAUGUAAUAUUUUUUUUGUGCUUCCUCGAACUGGUUCCUUAAUAAAGAAACACAAUUCAUUGUCAACAAGCAUAUUUAUUUUCUGUGUAACAUAAAACACAUUAAUCGUGGGAGAUACUUGAACACGGUAUCACUUCCAAAGAGAGUUCACAGACAUUUUUUUUCCCACUUCCAAUACUUACACGGCAUAUCCAAAUGUUCACAACGAACACACCGAAACACAUUGUAACAUACAAUUUGUGAAUAAACUUUAGCCAAACCUUCAAGACGGAUUUAUACAGAGUUCUUAACAAUACAUCAUGCUACAAAGUUUCCAAAUUAAUUACAUACUUCUCAAUUUAUGACAUGAUCUUACAAAUGAGUUUCAAGACGAAUAUAAAUGACAAAAAAUAUUACAAUAUCUGCUAUUGUAGGAAAAUUAAUGGUAUUACAUAUUAACACGUUCAGAUAAUCAGGACAAACAGUUUGUGGAUUAUUUUUUUUUAAAGGUGGUUACAUGAUCAUUUAAAUUCACUUUUUCAAAGAACACUUUCCGCUAUAUUAAGUAA